rnacentral:rRNA from 1 species
CCCUUAGACGUUCUGGGCCGCACGCGCGCUACACUGACCGGUGCAACAAGCAUCCGUCCUUGGCCGACAGGCCCGGGCAAUCUUUGGACGCCGGUCGUGAUGGGGAUAGACUUUUGCAAUUUUUGGUCUUCAACGAGGAAUUCCUAGUAAGCGCAAGUCAUCAGCUUGCGUUGAUUACGUCCCUGCCCUUUGUACACACCGCCCGUCGCUCCUACCGAUUGAAUGGUCCGGUGAAGCGCUCGGACCGCGGCCUCUUGACGGGUCUCCGUCGAUUGGCUGUGGGAAGUUCGUUAAACCUUAUCAUUUAGAGGAAGGAGAANUCGUAACA